CUGAUGGCUGCUGAACAUCUCCGUCUCCAUGCCAAAUAUCUCCAUCCCAACACUGAAUGUGUCCUUCCCAGUGUUGAACUUCUCUAUCCCAAUGUUGAACAUCUCAACACUGAAUAUCUCCAUCCCAUUGCUGAACGUCUCCACCCCACUGCUGAACAUUUCCAUCCCAGUGUUGAAUAUCUCCACCCCAGUGCUGAACAUCGCCAUCCCAGUGCUGCGUAUCUCCAUCCCAACACUGAACAUCUCCACCCCCAGUGCUGAACUUUUCCAUCCCAAUGCUGAACAUCUUCAUCCCAAAUCUGAACAUCUCCAUCCCAGUGCCACACAUCUGCAUCCCAAAGUGGAAUAUCUCCAUCCCAAUGCUGAACAUCUCCAUCCCAGUUCUGAACAUCUCCAUCCCAAUACUGAACAUCUCCAUCCCAUACUGAACAUCUCCAUCCCAAUACUGAACAUCUCCAUCCCAUGCUGAACAUCUCCAUCCCAGUGCUGAACAUCUCUAUGCCAACGCUGAAUAUUUCCAUCUCCAUUUUCUGAGAAACACCCUGCAAGAGUCUCAGGAAGGCUGAGGACCUCAUGGUGACACCCAACAAGAAUGGACACUUCCCCCAGAGAUGUUCCCUGUUAGAAACAUAUGCCCAGUGCAGAGCCCUGGGGUAAAGCCAAGGCUGUGAUGCUCCCUGUUUUCCUCCCCGCGCCUGGCAAAGCUGUGCCCUCCAUCGGCCAAACAAUCCUGCCCUGCCCCCGUGCCCUCUGGUUGCAGCAAGGCUGUAGCAAAUCCGAGCAGGGGGACAACACAGUUCAACACAGUGUAAAACAGCAGUCGGAGCACGGCGGUGCAGAGGCAGUGCCCAAAGCAAACACACUGCUGCGAAAAAAACCUUCCCAGCUUAGUGCGCCCUUCUAAAAACACAGAGUGACUUCAGAAAAAUGUGAGAAAACAUGAGCUGCUCACCCCCAGAGGGAAAACAGAGCACAGGAGCCAUAGGAUGGAGCCUGCUGCCUGCAGCCGUGUCCCCAUGGCAGAGGAUCCUGGGGCCAUCGCGGUGCCUGGGAAGGGCUGAGCUCCCUU
rnacentral:lncRNA from 1 species